AGGCCGACCGGAAAGUGCGCGUCUGUGACGGCGCGGCCUUGACCUCGCGUAACCUCUGUGUAGCCCCUCUGAGCACAGCCUGCGCGCCCCCAGGGUCGCCUGCGGACCCUGGCUCCUGGCUGCUGGUCACCUGCCGUCCAGCCGCCCUCUGCACGCUCCCGCGUAACACGCUCUUGGCUGGUAGGUUGGAAGUUGAGUCGCGGCCCUGGAGCACCCUGCGGCCCUCUCGAUGAGACUCAGGAUUUGGAAAGCAAAACAAACAACCGAACAAACAAAUGAAAAGAGUAGAUUUUGGACCUCCACGAAUGAUUUCAAAGUGAACAAUAAGAAGAUCUCUGCCUGCAUAAGACUCAUUUUGAAAGUGACACUAAAGAGCCCAUCCAAGAAGAUAAUAACGGGUCAUCCAGGAAAGGCUACGUAAGAGGAUACAGUUCCCUCAAUAAGAGAUGAAGGUUCACAAAACAGCCAGUCAGACCAGGGAAUAGAAGAUUAAGGCGGCA